rnacentral:rRNA from 1 species
UACAGAGGUCUCAAGCGUUGUUCGGAUUCAUUGGGCGUAAAGGGCGCGUAGGCGGCGCGGUAAGUCGGGUGUGAAAUCUCGGAGCUUAACUCCGAAACUGCAUUCGAUACUGCCGUGCUUGAGGACUGGAGAGGAGACUGGAAUUUACGGUGUAGCGGUGAAAUGCGUAGAUAUCGUAAGGAAGACCAGUGGCGAAGGCGGGUCUCUGGACAGUUCCUGACGCUGAGGUGCGAAAGCGUGGGGAGCAAACAGG